AACUCUUUUUCUCUCCAUGUAGCAGCAGUGUGACCCAGUAAGAGACCUGAUGGAAGCGGCAGCCAGAGCGACUGUGAUCCGCCUGAGAUGUGCCUAAGGAAAGAUUCAGUUCUCAAUUCGGGCUUCAAAAAACAAGCAUCAGGGGAACUGGAGCUGGAGGGAGCUAAGCUGGCUGGAGAUGAUUUGCAUUUAAAGAGAAAGUAGCCCUCUUUGGAUUCCCUGGGAGCGGAGCCGGAGGAGAGUACUUCCGUCGAUUUAACAGUUCCCCUUCCCUACCUCCCACAAGAACUAAAGGAGCACUGUUAGUUACGGGAUAUGGAUUUAAAAUCAUUUCCUUUUCUUGUCAC
rnacentral:lncRNA from 1 species